rnacentral:rRNA from 1 species
GACGUAGGGCGCGAGCGUGUCCGGAAUUAUUGGGCGUAAAGAGCUCGUAGGCGGCUUGUCGCGUCGACUGUGAAAACCCGUGGCUCAACCAUGCGGUCUGCAGUCGAUACGGGCAGGCUAGAAUUCGGUAGGGGAGACUGGAAUUCCUGGUGUAGCGGUGAAAUGCGCAGAUAUCAGGAGGAACACCGGUGGCGAAGGCGGGUCUCUGGGCCGAUAUUGACGCUGAGGAGCGAAAGCGUGGGGAGCGAACAGG